rnacentral:rRNA from 1 species
UACGUAGGGCGCAAGCGUUGUCCGGAAUUAUUGGGCGUAAAGAGCUCGUAGGCGGCUUGUCGCGUCGGUUGUGAAAGCCCGGGGCUUAACCCCGGGUCUGCAGUCGAUACGGGCAGGCUAGAGUUCGGUAGGGGAGAUCGGAAUUCCUGGUGUAGCGGUGAAAUGCGCAGAUAUCAGGAGGAACACCGGUGGCGAAGGCGGAUCUCUGGGCCGGUACUGACGCUGAGGAGCGAAAGCGUGGGUAGCAAACAGG